ACCAUGAACAAGUAUGUACUGAUUAAUCACACAUCUUUUUCACAGUGUGUCUUUUUCUUACACAGACUAUUUUCUGAAGAGUCACUGCUGAUGAAGGGCACAAGUCAUCUUGCAAGGACUUCAAUCAUCUUGCUCUGUAGAGCUUCCAGGUCAAGGAGAGACAAGGCCAUGUAAAUGUAAGUGAUUCUUAAUGAGUUCUUUACCCAUAGCUUUAUUAAGGCACAAAUAACCAUAAAAUGACUCAUUCUAUUGAUUUUGAAUCCAGCAUAAGACUUAUUUCUAAACCCUGAAGAACAGUGGUUGGGAGAAAGAACAUCUUCAACCAGGGUAGUAAUUAUUGCCAGAGUAAGUUGCCUUCAAGAGUCAUUGUCAAGUAAUCAGUAAACACAUAAGAAUAAUUGCCCAUGACUUGGGAAUGCUCCUGCCUGAGCCAUGACAGGAGGAAGGAUACCCACACUAUCCUUCCUUCUGCCCAAAAGCUCCAACUGCAUUUCACUUGAACCAUGAGAAUGCAAUUCUCCCAGUGCCAGUGGAUCAUACUCCAGCAAAUCUGCAGUCACCAGGUCAGAAAUUGCUCCUGUAGGUCAGCAAUACCAGCAGAUCACAAAAAAAACCAAACCUCAGAGCAAAUCAGAAGGGAAGGUACCAAGAUGGGGCAGGAGACCCUCCAAGAUGUUGUUCUGCCCAGGACCUUGGUGUUGGAAUACAAACCAUUCAGCAGUGUAUACUCCAGAGCUGAAGUUAAAGCUGCAGUAGAAACCUGCCUCCUGCUUCACAGCACACCAGGCUGACACACAGCAGAGACCAGAAACUCCCUGCAUUUUCCUCCUCCCACACUCCAGCUCAAAGCCUUCAUAAAACCCUGAGUGAAUACACAGCUUGUGUUUGGUGAAGCAGUUUCCUUUCAGUUGUGCAGAGGGGAAGAGUAACACAUUUUACUUUCUGUUUUUCCUUCUCCCUUACCCUGCUGAUUUAAUUUCCAUCCCCUCACACGCCAUGCAGCCUGUUACAGCCAUGCUGCAGGUAGCCAUGGCAUAUUGGCAAUAAUUUCCAGACUAAUCUCCUUCAGUGUGGGGGCUCCCAUGGAUACAGAAAAACAGGGAGUCAUUUGCUUUUUACUCCCAGUGGAUCAUGGAGCUACAGGAAGGUGCCCUCUCCAGUGGCAAUCACUACCACACCCAUGCAGACUCUAUGAGGCUGGAUUAUGCUAUACAUUCCAUGGUUUAAUUUCAAGGCAAAGAUACUAAUAUGGUAUCCAAAGAUGAAUACAAAAGCAUUCUAAAAGAGUAUACAUUUUUUUUCUUUAAUAUAUUUGAAAACAGAAAUGCAUAAAAUUUCUUAAAAUGUUUCAAUGUACAAAUUUUGAGUAAAAUCACUAAAAUCUGCAGGCAAGACAGGGCUCACAUGUAGUGCUGAACCCUAAUCCAGGAAAAAAAAGUUAGUCUUUUCCCUUUAUCAACUCUGGUGGGAUUUUUUGCUUUCUGAAGAAAUAGCAUAGAUUGCCCACUGUGAUGGUUUUUUUUCUGUUUCUAGCCUCUGUUUUUUAUCUGGAUUCUUUUCCUCAAGGCUCUGUGGGGAGUCCCUACAAGUUAUCAAUAUCAAUGCAUCCCAUCCCAUGAUUCACACUCAAAUGCUGUGAUUUGGAGCAACUCCUCCUUCACCCUCAAGUUUGCAUCCCUUAUUCUUUGAGUUGUGACCUCUUCUACUCUGGUUUAGGAUCUCUCAGUAGCUUUGCACAGCUCUUCCAGAAAAGAGAAUCAUCUCAUUUUAUACCCCUUACUGCAAAAGUGAAAUACAAUAAAUCUUAGCAAAUC
ensembl:lncRNA